GAGUGCAGAGCCCAUCGCUGCGUCAAGGCUGCUUACGGGAGACCUCUUGCCGCUUGCGUCUUGGCUCAGCGGUGCGAUUUGCAAAU
rnacentral:pre_miRNA from 1 species